AGGAUGAACGCUGGCGGCGUGCUUAACACAUGCAAGUCGAACGAUGAAGGCUGGAGCUUGCUCUGGCUGGAUUAGUGGCGAACGGGUGAGUAACACGUGAGUAACCUGCCCCAGACUCUGGGAUAAGCGCUGGAAACGGCGUCUAAUACCGGAUACGAGCUUCCACCGCAUGGUGAGGAGCUAGGAAAGUAAUUUCGGUCUGGGAUGGACUCGCGGCCUAUCAGCUUGUUGGUGAGGUAAUGGCUCACCAAGGCGACGACGGGU
rnacentral:rRNA from 1 species